rnacentral:rRNA from 1 species
UACGGGGGGGGCAAGCGUUGUUCGGAAUUACUGGGCGUAAAGGGCGCGUAGGCGGCCUUCUAAGUCGGACGUGAAAUCCCUCGGCUUAACCGAGGAACUGCGUCUGAUACUGGAAGGCUUGAAUCCGGGAGAGGGAUGUGGAAUUCCAGGUGUAGCGGUGAAAUGCGUAGAUAUCUGGAGGAACACCGGUGGCGAAGGCGGCAUCCUGGACCGGCAUUGACGCUGAGGCGCGAAAGCUAGGGGAGCAAACGGGG